UACAGAGACUGCAAGCGUUAUUCGGAUUCACUGGGCGUAAAGGGCGCGUAGGCGGAUAGUUUAGUCAGAGGUGAAAGCCCAGGGCUCAACCUUGGAACUGCCUUUGAUACUGGCUAUCUUGAGUCCGGGAGAGGUGAGUGGAACUGCGAGUGUAGAGGUGAAAUUCGUAGAUAUUCGCAAGAACACCAGUGGCGAAGGCGGCUCACUGGCCCGGUACUGACGCUGAGGUGCGAAAGCGUGGGGAGCAAACAGG
rnacentral:rRNA from 1 species